CUUGCGUGAGUCUUCGGCGAAAAAAGGGAUGGACUGCAAAGGACGUGCGAGGCGUGCGGUGAAAACCCUAACCACCAAUCCCCUUGUCUCCUCGAGCCUCGCGUGCCCCUCCCCUUCCCAUUCGCCUCUCCCCUACCCAAACGCACUCCAGUGCCGCCGUGCUCCUCCGUGCACCUCCUCCACUUCGAUUUCUUCCUCCUUUGCCAGCAUGUGGCCACCACUGCCUCCCAUCCAGCUGCACCGCCGUCCAUCUCUCUACAUGUUUCUUGAUCCGCUGCUGCCGCGCGCUGUUCUUCUGGAUCGGACGGAGGUCGCCGCCAUAGGAGAGCCGGGGCGUCGUCGUCUUCAUGUGAGUCUGGAUCAGGGGAGGAUGAGGAUCCGGCACAGGUCACCACCAUAGGAGGGCAGGGUCGGCGUGGUCUUCGUGUUGGGCGCGGAGCAGGGGAGGAUGUGGAGGAUGGUUGUGACGGAAGGAGCGGCGAGAUCUUAGGUUGCACAUGUGCGGCUGCGGUAUCAUCUUCCUCCCAGUUAUUACUCCUUGAUCUAUGUUUUUGCUAAACACCUCUGUGCGGAUAGAGAGAAAAAGAGAAGGGAUGAAUCUUGAGGAAGAGUAUGGUGAAGAACAAGAUUCGAGGAUGUAAAUCUACCUGAUAUAUUGUUCACCGGGAUUGAUUAUUGUAGUGAUAUAUCUGAGAAUUUUAAUGAUCUAUCUGGUAGCAGGGCUGAUACGAUCAAUAACUAUUACCUUUGGUGUGCUUUCUCGAUGGACUAAUCUGAAGAUACUGGCUAGCUUGCACCACCGCGUCAUACAGUCUAGAAGCAAGGGCAAGGAUUAUAGGGAAAAUAAAGGAAAUUCGUCACCCGGAGGAAAUGCCAACCAAUACAUUUUUGUACUUCCUUUCUUAGAGGUAAAAUUAUUACUAUUUAUCGAAAGCGUUUUUGCUGCGUGUUCCCCUUUCUUAAUCUUCUAUUUGUUCAAAUGUACAUAACCGAGCUUAUAAUCCUUAUUACACAAUGAAUCUCACCAUUCUACCAUUUUAUUGAAAAUUUAUACCUGCAUAGUUCCGUUUUUCAUAUGGGUAAUCUUCUGUUGCCCUGAUUUGGUGUGCAUAUAGCAUGGGACAUUAUAGGCUUAUUUGUUUUAUCUUCGUUCAUGCACUAAUGCAUAAAUCUUUUGGUUAUGCCCUUAUUAUUUGGUCUAGAGGUAUGCAAUGACAACCAUGGCUUUAGUAUUCAGGUGAGUUUCAUUUAUAGACUGAAGAAUCCUUGGCAUAUUAUCCAAACUCUUUCAUCCUAGAUAUUAUGUCUGCCCAGUUAAGUACCUUAUACCAGUGCCUUAAUUAGCCUCUUCCGGCUAUUGACUGUAUGAAUUGUUCUAUUAGGACUCAGUUUUUCAAAGUUAUUAGGAUGUGGGCAUGUUUUUACUUUAGUUUGUAUAGUUUUGUGUUCUUUUGGCUUCAGGUUACUGCUGCACAGAAAGUACAGCUAACUCAGAUGAUGCAUGGAAAAAACUGCAGAUCUAGCAUAGUUUUUGUAUUCAGAUUUUGUAACUAAUUGUGUGAUGACCUUAUGUUAAAAUGCUUAUUUGUUCUCCAACUAGGCCAACAACGACUGCUAGCAAUGAUAUAUACAUAUCAACAAUUCUAAGGAAGUGCAUGUGUCCGGAUGCAUAUCAUGAUAUAUAUAUAUGUGUGUGUGCUUGAGCAUGUGACUAGAGGAGAUUCAGGAAGGGAUGAACUCAAAAUGAUCUGUGAUUUAAUUGGAAAAUACUCUUCAGCAUUUGAAACAUCUAAAGGUGAUCACUUAUGUUAUACAAUAUACCUAGCUCGAUGAUUGGAGCAGUCCCAGCCACUAAUUAGUGCUAAUUAGUACUCGAGUGUUAAAUCACUCAGAGUAUCAACACUCCCUCGAGACUUGGCUAUUAGCAUAGUAGUGCUAGGUCCUUGGAAUUCGUUCUUACUCCCUAUUUUCUUGAGUCUUUGGUUUCUCUUUAUUCACUCAUCGCUUUCUAUUUUCAUUAUCACUCUAUGUUCAUUUGGUAUCUUGGUUUCUCUUUGUUUAGUCUCCGCCUUCUUUCUCCGGUACCUUUUUUUCAUUUGUAUGUCUAAGUUAAGAAUGAGAGGCUAGAUAAACAAACAGGAAAAUGCUCACUUCGUUCAGGCCUUAGGGAUGCAUUCUAUUACUGUCCAUCAACAAGUUCAACUCCGACAAUGGUUCACCAAUAAUGUGGGCCGAUGCACCACGUCAGCAACCUCGACGAACUGACAGGCCAUUUUCCAACUGGGCCUGUUGUAAAUGACGAGAUCAUGAGGAUGUAAUCAGUAAUUUUUCUCCUGAAAAUGAAGAUGUACUUCGUCGUGCCACUAAUCUCAGCAAAAGAGUAUAUUAUGGUGCCCUCGUGCCACAGUGGAAUUGAAUCACAAAAAAUUCUACAGAUUUAUCAAAUCACGAAGGAGGUUAGUUUUUACCUGAGCAGCAACGGCGACCGCCAUGGUCUUGCUGGAGCCUCGCUUGUAGUGGAAAGUCACCAGCUUCAGGGAGUGCCGGCACAGCCAGAACAGACGCCACCUUCGGUGGGGAGUGAUAACAGCAACUGCAAGGAUUUGGCUCGCUGAUACAAGCAACAGCGGCGCCAUACCCCCAUCUGUAGCUCCGAGCUGUAGCAGGAGCUGCCGGUCCACCGAGAUGUGGAUGGAGCCGGCGAGCCGCUGUGCCUCCAAGCUGUCAGGCCACCAAGAUGCAGAUGGAGCCCCAGUGCCUCCGAGCUACAGCGAGAGCCGCUCCGCCGCCAAGCUGCAGCCUGAGCCACCGCGAAGAUGGAGCCGUGCUUUCUCUCCGGUACGAGUACAAUGGGGAAAGGGGAACGAAUCCAAUGAAUUGGUCGAUGGAACCAAGACCAGCAGUCAGCCAUGUGGCGAUCUCUGUGUUAUAUCCGCCACGCGUGUGUAUAGGUGUGCAGAGUGUGUGUGGUUUUUGUCACAGUGGCACAGUUGUGAAUUUAUCUUGGUGCUAAUUUGUAGCAUUGUUAUGAUCUGUGAUGUUUUGUCUGAUUAAUUUCCACUAUUCUUAGAAUAUAAGAGCAUCGACAGCCGC
rnacentral:rRNA from 1 species